GACGUGCUAAUCUGCGAUAAGCGUCGGUAAGGUGAUAUGAACCGUUAUAACCGGCGAUUUCCGAAUGGGGAAACCCAGUGUGAUUCGUCACACUAUCAUUAACUGAAUCCAUAGGUUAAUGAGGCGAACCGGGGGAACUGAAACAUCUAAGUACCCCGAGGAAAAGAAAUCAACCGAGAUUCCCCCAGUAGCGGCGAGCGAACGGGGAGCAGCCCAGAGCCUGAAUCAGUGUGUGUGUUAGUGGAAGCGUCUGGAAAGGCGUGCGAUACAGGGUGACAGCCCCGUACACAAAAAUGCACAUACUGUGAGCUCGAUGAGUAGGGCGGGACACGUGGUAUCCUGUCUGAAUAUGGGGGGACCAUCCUCCAAGGCUAAAUACUCCUGACUGACCGAUAGUGAACCAGUACCGUGAGGGAAAGGCGAAAAGAACCCCGGCGAGGGGAGUGAAAAAGAACCUGAAACCGUGUACGUACAAG
rnacentral:rRNA from 1 species